GUAGGUGGCAAGCGUUGUCCGGAAUUAUUGGGCGUAAAGCGCGCGCAGGUGGUUCUUUAAGUCUGAUGUGAAAGCCCCCGGGCUCAACCGGGGAGGGUCAUUGGAAACUGGGGAACUUGAGUGCAGGAGAGGAAAGUGGAAUUCCACGUGUAGCGGUGAAAUGCGUAGAUAUGUGGAGGAACACCAGUGGCGAAGGCGACUUUCUGGCCUGUAACUGACACUGAGGCGCGAAAGCGUGGGGAGCAAGCAGGACUAGAUACCCUGGUAGUCCACGCCGUAAACGAUGAGUGCUAAGUGUUGGGGGGUUUCCGCCCCUCAGUGCUGCAGCUAACGCAUUAAGCACUCCGCCUGGGGAGUACGGUCGCAAGACUG
rnacentral:rRNA from 1 species